rnacentral:tRNA from 1 species
UCCCCGAUGGUCUAGUGGCUAUGAUUUCCGCUUGUCAUUAAACCGACAAGUCGCGGGAGACCAGGGUUCGAUUCCCUGUCGAGGAG